CUUAGGUCCAGUGGGGAAUGGAUCUUCUCUCUGAGGUCCAGUGUGGAAUGGAUAUUCUCCCUGGGGUCCAGUGGCUCCUGCAAUCUUCCAGUUCCUUAAGGCUCCCUGGCACGCAGCUUGGAGUUGCUGGGGCCAGAGUGACAUCAUAUGCCGGCAACACCCCAGAGGGCACAGUGAAGAACAUCAUCGCUCUCUCCCCGGGAUAUUUCCUCAGAGUACGCACCUGCCGUCUGGAGUAAGCAGGUUACUACUUUUCCUCACUGAAUAAAAGCCUUUGGGGGCGUGGAAGCCACCUCCUGGGCCCCUUGUGACAGGCCACUGGUCCACUCCUCCCCCAGAGUUUUCCCCCUUUGGCAGCCACCUCGUUGCCCUCCAGUAAUUACGCUACUGGUCCACAACAUUAUUAUGACUGUAAGAGCAUUAUGGGAGAUGCAGUCCAACAUAGCUGGAGUGUAGAAAGUGGCGUACGCUUGUCUUAGCAUCAUAAUCACUAUAGUGUAUUGUAGUGGUUAGAGGACACUCUCUAAGCACAAACUUGCAAUUAUAGCUCAAGAAAUGCUCCAUGUACUUGACGGGGGACUCCUUACACUCAGUGCGUCGCUGGACGUUGACGCAGUCCUGUCAGUACUUAUAAUACGUUUUGGAUCUCAUG